GGCGUCGGAGGCGGGGACUAGGGGGAGGUGUUUGAACAUUAUUACCGGGUUGGGCGGGCCCCGUCUGGGAGGGGUUUGUGCGUGAGCCUUGAGUCCCCCGCCCGCUGAGGAGAUGGAUGAGGACGGGCUUCCUCUCAUGGGGUCAGGCAUAGACCUGACCAAGGUGCCAGCUAUUCAACAGAAAAGAACGGUGGCAUUUCUAAACCAGUUUGUGGUGCACACUGUACAGUUCCUCAACCGCUUUUCUACAGUUUGUGAGGAGAAACUGGCAGACCUUUCUCUUCGUAUCCAGCAAAUUGAAACAACUCUCAAUAUUUUGGAUGCAAAGUUGUCAUCUAUCCCAGGCCUAGAUGAUGUGACAUUUGAAGUAUCACCUGUAAGUGUCACUGGUGUCACAAAAGAAUCACAUUCUGAAACCACUUCAGAGAAAUCACAACAGAACAGUUUACAAGACUCUGGACCACAGGAAAGUGAAGUAACACCAGAAAAUAUCUUAACUGUAGCCAAGGAUCCAAGAUAUGCCAGAUAUCUCAAAAUGGUUCAAGUGGGUGUUCCAGUGAUGGCAAUAAGAAACAAAAUGAUAUCAGAAGGACUAGACCCAGAUCUUCUUGAGUUUUUCCCAGAAUUGUCCACCAGAAGGACUAGAGGCUGGAUCAUCUGUCCACUAACCCUGGACCCAUUGAUUGAGGGCUUUACUCCUCUACAUUUCUGGGAUAUAAUUGCCUAUGCACCUUGGUGGCUCCAUGGCCUUGGAAAGGACACUUUGUCAGAAAGUGGAGAAAUGGGACAUUCAUUGGAGGACCCAGGCUGGAAGAACAGUCCCUACACAGGACAUACCUGGAGAACCAGCCAAACCUUAAGAUAAGUCUUAUACCUUCUGCCUACAUGAUGAAUGCCAUACUUACUCACAUUUCAUUGGCCAAAGUACAUCACAUAGUCACACCCAGUGAGGUAAGGACAUGAAAUCUUCCCAUGGGAGGUACAGUUAAUCACCUGACAAUGGACAGGGAGGAGUGACCAGUAACUGAAAAAAAUAUUACCUAGCAUGAUAGUAAACAUUGAUUAUAAAUAAAAUAGAAAACAUGGGAAAGAAGAGUAUAAAAAUUACCUGUAAUUCUAUUGUUAACACUAUGAUGUAUUUCCUUCCAGGCUAUGUGUCUGUGUUUUUGAUUGUUUUGACAAAUUUAGGAUUACAUAACAUAUGCAAGUAUAUACCUGCUUUAUAAGCUGCUUGUUGAUAUAGAAUUAUAUAAUGAAAAAUUUCCCUCACGAAAAAUCAUUCUUUUAAAAGAUCACAUUAAUUCCCACACAAUUUUUGUAUUAGUUUGGAUAGGCCAGGUUUUGUAACAAUAAUAAAAAAUCUCAACUUUUUGCAUAGCUUCAAGUCACAAAGGUUUUUUUUUUUUAAUUUUCAGUUAGCCAACAUAUAGUGCAUCAUUAGUUUUUGAUGUAAUGUUCAACGAUUCAUCAGUUACGUAUAACACCCAGGGCUCAUCACAACCACAAAGGUUUAUUUCUUAUUCAUGCCACAUGUCCAGUGCAAUUUGACAUGGCAGUUCUGCUUAUCUUGAUCAUUCUGGGACCAAGCCAAAUAGAUCAGCUACCAUCUCAAAUGUAUCUGGUUAUUGUGUAAAAAGGAAAAGAGAAAAUAGGAAAACAUGCAUUGACUGUUAAAGCUUCUGUCCCCAAAGUUUUCACAUUUUAUUAGCCAAAUCGAGUCACGUGGUGCAACAUGUAUUUUUUUUUAAUGGACACAAUAUUUUGCAGACCCUCCAAUCAAGAGGUUAAGUCUUAUUUUUCUACCCCUGACUCACCUUGGCCAUAUGACUGACUUUGGCUAAUGGGACAGUAGCAAAUAUAAUGUAAGUAUAGGCUUAAAAUGUCCUGUGCUUUGAGACUUGUUUCUCUUAAUGCUUUUAGAAUCACCCAUAGAGGAUGACAGAUCACAUGGAGAGAGGCACCAGGCUCUUCCACUGUUUCCACUAUCCCACAUAGAUUCAACUUCAGCUAAAGACCCUGAAGAAACAAUGCCUCCUUUGAAAGAACUGAAGAGUACAGAAAUUUCUAGUUUCAACCAGCCACUGUCUAAACUGACAACCUGCUCUGCAGCCUGAUGGAUGACAAAGCUUCAUGGACUGGGAGAGAAUUCCAUGUCAAGAAUGUCUGCUUCUGAGAGCUAGUUCUGAUUGCCCUCAUCCCCAUUAACAAAAACAGAUGUGUGCUCAUGAGCAAAGUAAACAUUCAAGGCCAAUAUAUGUUCCUUUCCGCCAAUCUAGUUUGGCACUUCAAUAUGAGCAAAUAGUCUAUGAAGCAGAGUGGAACUUUUCUGUAACAUUGGUGUCAAGUGACGGGACUCACAUCUGUGUAUUAGUUUAACUGUUAUAUUAAAUAUCUAUGGAAUAGACUCUAUUUCAUGGGGAAUGAUUUGAGCUAUGAUUAAAUCUACUGACAUGGACUAGUUAUUCUCUAAUAACUGAGUUUGAAUCCUGGUUCUGUUGCUUACUAUCUAUGUAAACUUGUGCAAGUCAUUUAACUUCAGUUUCUAUCUCUAAAAUGGAGGUUUUAAUAGCAUGUAUCUCCUAUCCUGUCAGCACUAAGCAUGAAAAAUGUGAGCUCAUUCUAGGAUUAUUUCAUGACACCAGAGGAAGUAGAAUCCAAGAAGGCUGGGUACCUAAA